CUGCUUUCUGCAAAACCCUUGGCUUUUUCUAGAUCAGGCCAACUCCUUGUUACCUCGGGGAAUAAAACCGAACUUUCUCAUAAUGAGGGAUGAAAUGUGCAGAGGGCUUGGAUUUCCGAAUCCAGGGAACAAUCGUCGCUUCGGCAAAGGCAUUUGUGGUCUUUUACAGUUUCCUCCAGAGCGGUUUUUGUAAGUUGAUGAGAAAGACUCACUCUGUGCAGUGUAAGGAGGGGAGUCUGGAAACAAUGAAAUCAGCAUUCCUAUAAUUAGCUCUUAAAUUGUUCCCCUGGAUAGACGCUCCCCCCAGCUCCCGCUCUAGCGUGCUAUUUGCACAUUCUUACUUACACAAAUCUGAACAAUUUUUGACAAGAUUUUUGAGUUUUGUCAGAUGUGAAUUGUUAAGAUUUAAUUGAAAAAAUGAACAGAACGCAGCCACUAUUUCAAAGGGAGUGACCCAGAACCAAUUAGAAUUUAGUAACAAUUGACCAUUCAACACUGAAAUCCAGGUUGGGACAGUCAGAUUAAAGCCACUUUAAUUCCAUCCCCCCUCCCCACUCCUGAACUCAAAAUAUCAUUAGUGGGAGAUUUCCCUGCGUUUUCUUCCAAUCAAUUUGCCUGGUUUUGGAGGUGAAGUUCAGCGGGCAGGGCCGUGCAGGGGAGGAUGCUGGCCGGUUAUCUCCCGGGCUGAGAUGAUCCCCAAUAUAGGUUACCGUCUUGAAAAAACAGGUCAGGCCAAGCAACAUUCCUCGCCAAAUUGCUGUUGACAGCCCAAACAGGAGACGGGGGAGGGCCACAAAAAGGGCCUUUCAUCUGAAGACAACACAGCGAAUAAUUGGUCAUUCUCUCCUUCUCAGCUGGGGGAAAAUUCCCAAACAAAGCCGCGGCUUCCUACGGCAACUUCUUAAUCCUUUCUGGCAGAUGCUCUCAGGGAAGUGUCAGCUGAGAAAACGUGGCUGGCGUGGCGGGCACGGUGCCCGGCGCAUAGCUGAGGUCAAGGCUCUCCCGUCGCUGCUUGAGGCCACCUCACUGAGGAGCUGUCCUGGAAUCCGUGCCGUCCAAUCGAAUCUUCUCAUCUCCGUGAUCACCUCUGUCCCCAAAUUCUUUUCUCGCUAUACCUCUUUUCAUUUCUAGAAAUCGGGUGAGCUCCCAAACUGUACCGUCAAGUAUCCAAGUACAAACACAUGAAACACAAA